GCGUCCCUGCUGAGGAAGAGGCCCAGAUGCCGGCAUGGCCUUCAGAACCUGCCUCUGCCAGGCCUCACCCCUCUGCUCUGGGAAUGCCCUUUGACCCUGCUGAAAAGCUUAAGCUUUGUAAACAGAGUCAUCUGGCGUUUACCUCUCGUGCACCCACCAUGGCCAGCUGUUUGUUUGGGGGCUCUGUUGAUCCAGCUCAGGCUCAGAACUCUCAGCCCCAACAAGCUAUUUCCUGCCGGUCACCAGCUGACUGCUGGAGCCUUCAUUCCAGCUCCUUGUUUAUUGUGAACUGUGUUUGCGCAAUGCUGCUCUGCCCACGUUUGUCAGCUUUGCAUUUGUGUCCUUGGUGUGGAUGCUUCUCCCCCCUCCAGAACUCGGAGUGCCCUGAGAGCAAGAGCCAUUUCUUCCCAAAUCAGACCAAAGAGCCUGCAUGCUUCACCUCUGAGGGUGAGGACCAAGUCUCCUUCCUUUGAUCUCUCUAGGACAAAGAGGACAAAAGGUAUUCAGACCAUGAGGUCAAGUGAUUGAUUUAUGACCCAUACAUAAGUGGCAGUGAGUCAUAGGUCCAUCCCCAUAAGUUCAGUCUCCACAGCACCCAUUCUCCCAUUCUUCCAUUCUUCCUCCCCACUCUCUGGCUUCAGUGAGCCCCACAGAACCCCUUGCCAGGAAGGGCCAUGUGGGGUUGCCAAGAGGUAGGUUGCACAGUGGGUAGGCAGGUCCCCUCCCUUUGGAGGGGGUUGUCCUCAUUAAAGGUAAGGCACUGAUGGUGACACCUAUCCAUGCUCCCAAUGGGUAAGCUGUGUGUCCGCAGUAGUCAACUGCUCCUUAGGUGCUGGCCGGGACUGGUUCAAUGCUUCAUUCAAAGAUCAGUGAGAGAUCCAGUGCUCUUCCUCAAAACAUUCCCAAUUCCCCUGAGAGUGGGAAUGGAGGGUGGGGAGACUUCCCUUCUCAUCAGUGCUUUGAGAUCCUAUUUUUCUCAGGUCAUCUCAGUUUAGGAAUGGUCUUGCUGACCCCAUGAGUGCUCUCACUGCUGUGAGCUGUGGAUCUCCCCCCUCUGCCUUAUUCCUACAUGUGAACUCCUCACAAGGUCUGUACAUACAUCAUGGGCUUUACUGAAGGGUGAGGUCUUCAGAGGGUGUUGUUAAUACAGCAAAAAUGUAAACAGCUUAAAAAUGGAGUGUUGGGCAUUUCUGUUCUUAAAACUUCCUUUGGCUUCCUCUCUAACACUGGCUCCGGCCCCUCCCCACACCACUUUAAUGUUACUCAAGCUCUUAGCUGUCUCUUCUACCACUUCCCCUCUUUUUUGCUCUUCUCCUGGGAGAAAAAAUACAGAUUCCUCCUGCUUCCUUCUACAGAGUAAUUCAGCUCUUUCUAACCCUGGCCCACACCUCUGAGCAUCUCUAAGAGUUCAAUAAGAUGGUCCAAAGCCUCUGCAUGGGCUCCUUCCUCUGAACCUCAGGGAUUAACAGCUUGACCUCCCUGGACCUGAACCCACAGUGCAGUACAGAAAUACCUUGGACCCAGAGCCUGGAGGCCAGAGGGCACCUGGCCACUCCUUCUCACUGAAGAUCUUGCCCCUGCGAGGCUCACAGUCCUUCUCUCUACCCCAAAUUCCUGCCACCACUACCUGAGAAAACACUAGUAUCUAUGUGAGCAGCUGAAUUCAUUCUGCCACUAGGCCCUCAGUCCCCUGGCUCCACAUCCCCAAGGGGCCAUCUCCAACCUCUAGCACUGAGCCCCCAGGUGGAUGCUCUGAAUACUGAUACCAGCUCCUCCAGAGUCUGGCUCCCAGGAGUACCCAUAAAUAUUCUUUGAGUAAGCAAAUAAAUGAAUGAAGCCAAUGUUGCAAGAUUGGAGUGUGGCAUAAUGGGAAGGGCACGAGACUGGGUGGGAGAUCCAGCUUCUAGUCCUAGCCCUGCCACUAAGUAGCUGUGUGAUUUUGAGCAUCUUUUCACAUCUCAUGGCCUCCUUCUCUUCAUCUGAAAAAUUAAAAUUUUUGCACAGAUGAUUUCUGAAAACCCAACUUCUGACAGUUGACAAUUGUAAGAGCUAUGACUUGUCAAACAUCUCUAAUAUUUAGACUGUGCUAGGUGCUUUGCAUAUCCUACCUCUAAUCUACCCAAAAACUUAUUGUCCACAUUUUAAAAAUGAGGAAAUUGAGGCUAAGAGAGAUUAAAGAUUUGCCCUUUUAUAAAGAAACUAGAUGGGGCUGGGUGCGGUGGCUCAUACCUAUAUAAUCCUGGCCCUUUGGGAGCCUGAGAUGGGAGGAUUGCUUGUGACCAGGAAUUUGAGGCCAGCCUGGGCAACAUAGCAGGACCCCAUCUCUAUAAACAAAAAGAAAGAAAGAAAGAAAUGAGGUAGAAGAUUCAGGAUUAGAAUCCAGGUUGGUCAAUUUAAAAACAAGUAUGUCUAAAUGAGUCUCAUAUCUUAAAAUCAAAGAAAUCUCAUGUUUAGAGGGUCUACUUUUUGCUCUUCUAAAAUAGGCCUCUGGUUAUUAAAGGUCUUUCUGAGGUGGCAGGGAACUGCCUUCAGAAAUCUGGCUGGAAGUAAAGGCCUUGCAUGCCCCACCUGUUGCAUGGGCCUGCCCCCCGCCCGGACACUCAGUUCAGACAUCAGUUGUACGUCAGGUGCUGCAGCAAGGGAGGGUGGAAGGGGGAUCAUUGCGGGGAUAAGACAGGAUAGAGCAGCUCACGGUGUCUGGCAGAUACAUUGGGUAACUGUGGGCUUGGUGCUCUAAGAGUGGCUCUAAGACAGGGUGUGCUGAGUGGCCACUUCAUCAGAAUGGCGUAGGUUCUCGUUACAAAUGCAUAUACCUGGAUACAAAUGCAUAUACCACCUCGAACUACUGAAUCGGAAUCUCAGGGAGCAUCCGCUUGAUGUGAAUUUUCAUCAAACUCCCCAGGAGACUGGAAUUACUGUCCCAAGAAUCCCUGGGGUAUGUAGGGACUUGAGGGUCAGAGAAGAGAUUUUUAAUUAGUGUCAUGGGUAGUGGGAAGCCAUUAAAGCAGCAUUUAAAGCAGAAAAAGAAGGGCAAUGCUAUUGGAAGAAAAAGAAAUCAGAACCAAGAAGAAGGGAGAAAAGUAUCUUGAUUUGUUACAUGUUGAGACUGAAAUACCAGGAAAAUAUUUCAAAGAUGUCCAGUUCUCAAUUGGGGGGGGGAGUUGAGAGCUCAGUAAUAAAUGUGGGAUUAGAGAUGAAGGUUUGAGAUUUAUUCUUUAUCAGGAGGUGCAAAUUCAAAUACCUCCAGGAUCAAGGCAAGUGAGGAUUGAGUGUAAUAAAAAAAAAAAAACCCAGCACACAUCCAUAAUAAAUGGCAAUUACCACUUGGCCUCAGCAGGGAUGCGAUAGAGAAUGGUGGAGAAUGUGGUGAACUGGAGGACAUACUUACUCCCUGUCUUAGGGACCAGUCGUUGCCAAACAGGAGUGUGGGACCAGUGUUAACAGAUAUUCUGGUUUUUAAAGAGAAAUCAUAAUUCCAGAUAUUUUUUUAUUUUAACAUUUCCUAAAAGUUAAAUGUUGACAACUAAUUUUUAAAAUGCUUAAAUACUAUGCAGGCCAAACAAUAUAUAUCUAUGGUCAGCUCUGCCUUGCAGGCUUCCAAAUUGUGACUUUUGAGUUACACGGAUGGGAUUCAGGAGAGAGGGUUCAGCAAAUUGAGAAGAAACCCAGAGGCUGCACUGUUGGGAACCACGGUCCUCCUCUAUUUGGGAGCUUACCUGUGGGUGAGCCCAGGGCACAGAGAGGUCCUGAGUUUUUGGCCACUGAGUGUCUGGUGGGCUCCCAUGUUGGUGGCAACAAGUAAAGCCUGCACCUGUCAUAGCUAUUUCUGCUCAUCACCUGAAAAUCAUGUGGGUAGCCACUGUGGUCCUGAUACUUUUCAGGUUAGAUGCCAUCUUGAGCCUGCAGCUACACCCUGCCACCCUCUCUGGCUAUUUUCGUCCCCUACUAUGAAGAUGCCUUGUCUCUUGGAGUAUCUGAGUCCUGGCUGGAGCAGGCAUCCUGUUUAACACAUCCUUGAUGCACACUUUUAUAUCAGGAAGUUUUGUUGCCUAAUUUAAAUGCUUUUUGUAUAACUGAAUCUUCUUUUGCUUCUUCUAUCUUCAGAGCAAAUGGUGAAAUGGGUUACUUUUUAGCUUUCAGACUCUCCUCCAGCCCUCAAUAGUUUCUGAAAAAGGGUCCUCGGGGACUUAAAAAUUGUUGUGACCUACAGAUUAGAAAGCCCUUUGCUUAUUUAUAUUUUACCAAGACUUCCUUUAGUCUCAAUGGGUAGUCUUCCUCUUACCCUCAACCCUAAUCAUCUUUGUACUGUCUAUUUCUGUCCCUGCUGUCAGUUCACUUUGGGGUGGGGGGAAGGGGGUAAAAACAGAAACUUUUUAAAAUAGCUAACAUCCUCACUUUCCUGCAGUCCUUUUUAGCAGGUUUUAUAGACAAUGUUGUUUUUUUCUGUUCUUGAUUUUUCUUUCUGAUUCUAAAAAAUAACUUCCAGACUGGCUGGUCUAGAGCUGACCUUGAAAGGCACAACUUUGUGAGAAGAUAACAGGGAACCCUAAAAGUUGUCCUGGACAUUACCCAAUGAUGCCUGCAAAGAGUUAUGAAUAUAUUUAGCAGUAUUUCCACCCUGAUUAGGAAAUGAGGAAGAGGCAUGAUGGUCCUCCCUCCCUGGGUGAUGUUUCUUAUCAACUCUGGGCAGCACAGCAAAGUUUUCACCAAUGAGGUCUGUAAAGAGGAAAGAUCAAAUUAGCGUCUGCACCAGCCACACUCAGACAUGCCCCGCCAAAAUGUACAUCUGACUAAAACUCCCACAUUUCACAAAAUGAUCUUCUUUAACAGAUACCAUUAGAAGUGCCUACUGACAUCUGCUAACACAUAUGUGUAUUCCCUCCUAUCCACGAGCAUCAGAGAACACACACACAUUUAAGUACAUAUGCUCACUCAGCUAUGCAUACUGCCUUCCCUGCACACACACACACACACAGAAAAUCCACACCGUGUAGCAUAUGAGUGAACUGAUGGCAUCCUCCUAGAAUAUCUCCACCCAGCCUCUGCCUGCAAAUCAGCUUCACUCAACCUCAGGUUUCUACUUGUGGUCAGAAAUUUGAGAGGCAACCAAGCCCAGUCCCCUCAGGCCCAGCAGGGCACUGGGAAAGAUAGAAAUCACAUACAAUGACCUGGUUGCUCCUGGAUGGAAAGUGGAGAGCAAAGCCUGCGGCUAACCCCACAGACAGGGACAGCGCAGAGGCCUGAGGAGAGAGACCCAGUUCUGGGUGGGCGUCUGGUCUGAGGACAGCAGUUUGGAAUGCUGCGGGCCACUCUUGAGUGGGUCACAUGGGUGGGCCAUGCAAGUGGGUGAGAUGGGCAACCAGCACCAGAAGAACCAGUGAGUCUGGGUUACACAGCACACAAUUUUCUGGCUCACAUGAGACAUAAGCUGAAGUUCACCCUCACUUCCUGCACCACCAUGCCCCCUCUGCAGCGGGAGGAGUCCCAGGUCAGCAGAGUGCAACAGCAUUUAAAGUUCAAAACUCAACUCAAGGCCCUCAGGGUGAGGGUGGAAGGAGAAAGGGAAAAGUGAGGAGAAAGAGGAAUGUCAGGAAGGGGAGGAAGAGGAGCAGAAAGAAGAGGUGGAGAGGGAGAGAUGGACCCUCUCACCUUAUCCUGAUGUUCAAACUACACCUUGGUUAUACCAAGGAAAGUGUGGAGGGGCAGGGAGGGGCAAAGUGCAAAGGGCAAUGUGGAAAGGAAAAAAGAAGGAGUGAAAUCUUGACUUUGAGUUUCUAAGGAUCCUGGUUCUAGCAAUUUAAGGGCAGUUUCAGGAAAUAUCAAAAUAACUGAGACUACUAUAAUGUAUUUGGCUUUAUAAGAAAUUGAUUUGAGAACCUAAAUCCUGGGCUGGGUACAAUGACACUAUAUAUUGAUGCGAGAACUUUGAAUGUGGGAUAAAUUAAGCUUCCUCUCCCUAGACUUGUGUGUAGAAAGAAAUGGGGAUGAGAAAGUAGGAAACUGCCUUCUGGUUCUAUGGAUCAUCUCCGUGCUAAACAAAGUUCACAAACUAAUCACCAGUUUUUGCUCAACUUCAGGUUUCUACUUGUGGUCAGAAAUUUGAGAGGCAACUAAGCCAAGUCCCCUCGGGCCCAACCAGGUGAGGCUGACACACCUUGAGCAAUGGAGACAAGGGGUUACAGCCUCCUUGCUCCUGUCCCAUCCAGUGCAUUGUCAUCAUCUGUAAUGGCAGCUUGUUGGGAUGUGGGCCGUGGCAACAGUGGCACAAGGGCUCCGCGGUCUCAUGAAAAAGGCACCAUAUUUGAAGUCUGCAAAUUUGUUCCCAAUCCUGGCUCUACUGGGAACUCACUGUGUGGUCUGGUGGAUGACAUAAAAACUACAUAAGGACAGAUUUCUAAGGCAAACAAACAGGUGAUGGUCUGUCAAAAGACUUUUUUCAUCAAUUCUGGUUACAGGAGAUGUAAGGCCCAGAACACCACACCCCUGUCAAAGACACACUAACAAAGACAUGGUAAGUGUUUUCAGAUUUAGGUGCUGAAUGGCCCCUUUAUAGCUCUCUAUUCCUUGACCUAUUUCACUGACUUCCUUGGUGGCUGAUCUUGGUCAUUUCCGGCCUUGCCGACACCUGGUCUCUUUGGUUUGAUGCAUCUCUGGAUUAUCUUGUUUCCAGUGUCAACCCUGUUUCCUGUAACAAAAAUUUUUUCUCCUAAAUGAGCAGAGAUAAUAGUCUCAUCUGGCCUGAUCCAGCUUCUGGGGCGGAACUGGUGAAGUGGCCAUAGAAGAGAUGUGUUUAAUGCCAAAAUAUCAGAAUUCCAUGGCAUUUUGAGUAGUUAUAUGAAACAGUAGAGCAGAAUAUUUGAAAUCUGAAUUGUCCUGGAAAUGUGGGACAUAUGAACAUAGUAGCCAGUUUUCAAGUAACUCACAAACUGUUGUUGAAAUGUCAACCUCUAAAAAGAUCAUAACAACACCACACAAUAGAUUAUGAAUGCCCAAUGAAUGGUAUGGAUGACAUUAAUUCAACAUUGAGAGAAUGGUUGGUGUAGGUCCCUAAGGUGGAAUACCAAGCUUAAGCUGUGCCUUUGGGACUGCAGGGGGUUGAGAGAAGUGUGAAGGAGGUGGUGAGCUACCCAGGAGAUAAGACCAUGAGCCAUGGACAUGCAUGAAACGGGGACUAUGUUACAGAGCACAGAUAGAGAUCAUAGGCAAAAUGUUGAGACGUAUGGGCUGCAGAGCUACUGUGAUACUUAGAGGACACUGAGGAGAGUGACCCUGGAGCACAGAGUCAGAAACCUAAAAAAGUAGGUGGGGCUAAAUUAUGAAGGUCUUAACUAUUAGGCAAAAAAAAAAAAAAAAAUCCAAACUUAAUCUAAUGGACAAAGAGGGAAGGAGAUGUUUCAGAAUGAUCUGAGCAAGAGAAGAGCAAGUGAAUACAGUCCUUUAGGAAGGCAACUCUACUAACAAUGGGAAAGGUAGAUGGUUUGGGCAUGGAAUUGGACAGAGUCCACUGCAAUUAUCCAGAUAUGAAGAAGCAACGGGUUUGGGGAACUGGGUCUGAGGAGCAAAUUACUAGGAGAGGCUAAAGAGUUUUCUGGGUGGAAUGACUGAGGAAAUGAUGGUGUCUCUUGACAGAAAAUGGAGAUCAGGAAGGGAGCCAGCUUUGGAGAAGACAUGGGCUUAGGCUGACAUUGAGGUGGUGGCUGGACAUCCGAGGGAAGGGACAGAGCAGGUGGGAAGAGGAGCAGGAUGGAAGGACAUGAGGACAGACUAUGCAGAUAAGAAAAUCCAUUGUAAAAAAGUAAACGUCAAAACGGACUACAUGAACAGGAUCUCUCUGAAGAAAGGAAGUGGAAAGAAAAAGGAAGAGGACUGAGGGGACGCAGUGUGGAGAAUGAGGGGUGUGUGGGAGGAGGGCGGGGGUGACACAGGAAGGGAUCCAGGGCUGGCACAACUAGGAAAGCGGGCAGAGAAGCCUGGGACACAGUAUCGAGGACAAGGACAGGGAGACUGCUUCCAGAAGGUGGUCAGAGGGCCCAGAGUUCAAGGAAAAUAGGAAUUUACGGAGGCCACUGGGUUUGAAUCGUUUAACAAAUACAGGGCAUCAAUGUGUGCCAGGCCCUGUGCUGGGCUGUGGGGUGCUGGUGACAUCGACCAAGCGCCUGCGAUGGUGCCAGCCCCUGAGUGUAGCAGGGGGAGACCGAGGCUGGAUUUCCCCCCUGAUGAGCCAUACUUACAAAAGCUUCAGUCCACACACAGCGAGGAAGGAAGAGGGCUGGGGGAAGGAGGAAAGGAGGAGGGGUGAGUGGGAAAAUAUGUGCAGUUGAGAGCCGACCACUGCUUCAAAAAAUUUGGCACUUAAAGGAAAGUGAGAACUAGAAAAGUAACUUGAGGGGACAGAAAAGUCUUACCAACACUCCCCCCAACCCCGCCAACUAGGUGAGACUUGUAUGUGUCUAAGCAAGAGAAAAGGCAUUGCUGUAGAGGAAGAGCGCAGCUUGUUGAGGGAGGUGGAAUUCCUAUUAACAUUAUGGAAAUAAACAGAAGACUUAGUCCCCAUUUCCAAAGAGCCAAGAGAAAUUCAUUCUGACUAGUUAAGAAACCUGGCAAAGGAGUAAAAUGGUGACGAAGCGUCCCGGCUAGUGGUUCUGACAGUGUGCGGCUGAAAAACGCAGUGGGAGUCAGAAAAGGGGAAGGCUUGGGAGAGGUGGUAUCCGCGAAGGCUUCUCGGAGGCGGCGGCCUCUAACCCGAACCUUAAGGAUGGGCGGAGAAGCGAGGGGCACGCCGGGCGAGGAACACGCGGGACCGACUCCCGGUCCCUCCGCCGCGCGCUCUCGGUCCGCCCCCCGGCCGGGGAGCCCCGCGCAGGUUCCCAGCACUGACGUCAGCGUGCAGUGACCUCAGCGCCGAGGAGGCGGGGGCGGCCGCGGCCGGGGA